UCUAGAACUCAAGAUAUGGGCUAAACACUGAACAGUGUCUAGGCUGCAGGACAGAUUCGGACUUCUCUGUUGUUGCUACAAUUUGGACUUGAAAAUGGCCUUUUUAUAUCUUGGACUCCUCAUGAAAGUUUUAGGCCUAUGUCUUAGCUUUCCAUC
rfam:Populus trichocarpa scaffold_4_contig_89, whole genome shotgun sequence.